CCUACGGGGGACAGCAGUGAGGAAUAUUGGUCAAUGGGCGAGAGCCUGAACCAGCCAAGUAGCGUGAAGGAUGACUGCCCUAUGGGUUGUAAACUUCUUUUAUCAAGGAAUAAAGUGAGGCACGUGUGCCUUUUUGCAUGUACUUUAUGAAUAAGGAUCGGCUAACUCCGUGCCAGCAGCCGCGGUAAUACGGAGGAUCCGAGCGUUAUCCGGCUUUAUUGGGUUUAAAGGGAGCGUAGAUGGGUUGGUAAGUCAGUUGUGAAAGUUUGCGGCUCAACCGUAAAAUUGCAAUUGAUACUGGCAGCCUUGAGUACAGUUGAGGUAGGCGGAAUUCGUGGUGUAGCGGUGAAAUGCUUAGAUAUCACGAAGAACUCCGAUUGCGAAGGCAGCUUACUAAACUGCCACUGACAUUGAUGCUCGAAAGUGUGGGUAUCAAACAGGAUUAGAGACCCUUGUAGUC
rnacentral:rRNA from 1 species